CUACGGGAUGGCUGCAGUGGGGAAUAUUGCACAAUGGAGGAAACUCUGAUGCAGCAACGCCGCGUGGAGGAUGACACUUUUCGGAGCGUAAACUCCUUUUAUAUAGGAAGAAGAUGACGGUACUAUAUGAAUAAGCGCCGGCUAACUCCGUGCCAGCAGCCGCGGUAAUACGGAGGGCGCAAGCGUUACUCGGAAUCACUGGGCGUAAAGAGCGUGUAGGCGGAUUAAAAAGUCAGAAGUGAAAUCCUAUAGCUUAACUAUAGAACUGCUUCUGAAACUCUUAAUCUAGAAUAUGGGAGAGGUAGAUGGAAUUUCUGGUGUAGGGGUAAAAUCCGUGGAGAUCAGAAGGAAUACCGAUUGCGAAGGCGAUCUACUAGAACAUUAUUGACGCUGAGACGCGAAAGCGUGGGGAGCAAACAGGAUUAGAUACCCUAGUAGUC
rnacentral:rRNA from 1 species